rnacentral:rRNA from 1 species
AGUGAACGCUGGCGGUAGGCCUAACACAUGCAAGUCGAACGGCAGCACAGUAAGAGCUUGCUCUUACGGGUGGCGAGUGGCGGACGGGUGAGGAAUACAUCGGAAUCUACUUUUUCGUGGGGGAUAACGUAGGAAACUUACGCUAAUUCCGCAUUCGACCUACCGGUUAAAACAGGGGAACUUUCGACCUUUCGCGGAUGAAUUAGGCGAUGUCGGAUUAGCUAGUUGGCGGGGUAAAGGCCCACCAAGGCGACGAUCCGUAGCUGGUCUGAGAGGAUGAUCAGCCACACUGGAACUGAGACACGGUCCAGACUCCUACGGGAGGCAGCAGUGGGGAAUAUUGGACAAUGGGCGCAAGCCUGAUCCAGCCAUACCGCGUGGGUGAAGAAGGCCUUCGGGUUGUAAAGCCCUUUUGUUGGGAAAGAAAAGCAGCAGGUUAAUACCCCGCUGUUCUGACGGUACCCAAAGAAUAAGCACCGGCUAACUUCGUG